CAGGUGAUCUAGCCAUGGGCAGGUUGAAGGUUGAGUAACAUCAACUGGAGGACCGAACCGACUAAUGUUGAAAAAUUAGCGGAUGACUUGUGGCUAGGGGUGAAAGGCCAAUCAAACCUGGAGAUAGCUGGUUCUCCCCGAAAGCUAUUUAGGUAGCGCCUCGGACGAAUACUACUGGGGGUAGAGCACUGUUAAGGCUAGGGGGUCAUCCCGACUUACCAACCC
rnacentral:rRNA from 1 species